rnacentral:sRNA from 12 species
UCGAUUUUGGAAUCAAGAUGUCUUGGAAUCGAUUAAAUACAUUAUCCAGUAAUCAAGGGGUUCUCGAAUACUGGCGUAACGGAUCAAUUAGGCAAACGACGUAAUACGGCAGGUUAUAAGAAUAGCCACUUAUAUCCCUAGAAAAAGCCCAAUGAACCGCUUUUAAGCGGGUUUAUCAGGAAAGCUGAUAGAUAUACCUAAUUGAUUGUCAUCGACGGAGAGGGGCGCUUUAUAAGCGUAUCUGAUGGCACGUAGGG